rnacentral:rRNA from 1 species
AGAGUUUGAUCCUGGCUCAGGACGAACGCUGGCGGUGUGCUUAACACAUGCAAGUCGAACGGUAAGGCCCUUUCGGGGGUACACGAGUGGCGAACGGGUGAGUAACACGUGAGUAACCUGCCCUCAUCUCUGGGAUAACAGUCGGAAACGGUUGCUAAUACUGGAUAUGAGCUUGCAAGGCAUCUUGUGGGUUGGAAAGAUAUUUUUUGGUUGGGGAUGGACUCGCGGCCUAUCAGCUUGUUGGUGAGGUAGUGGCUCACCAAGGCUUCGACGGGUAGCCGGCCUGAGAGGGCGACCGGCCACAUUGGGACUGAGAUACGGCCCAAACUCCUACGGGAGGCAGCAGUGGGGAAUAUUGCACAAUGGACGGAAGUCUGAUGCAGCAACGCCGCGUGCGGGAUGACGGCCUUCGGGUUGUAAACCGCUUUCAAUUGUGACGAAGCUUUUUGUGACGGUAGCAGUAGAAGAAGCACCGGCUAACUACGUGCCAGCAGCCGCGGUGAUACGUAGGGUGCGAGCGUUGUCCGGAUUUAUUGGGCGUAAAGAGCUUGUAGGCGGUUUGUCGCGUCGGGAGUGAAAACUUGGGGCUUAACCCUGAGCUUGCUUUCGAUACGGGCUGACUUGAGGGAGGUAGGGGAGAAUGGAAUUCCUGGUGGAGCGGUGGAAUGCGCAGAUAUCAGGAGGAACACCGGUGGCGAAGGCGGUUCUCUGGACCUUUCCUGACGCUGAGAAGCGAAAGCGUGGGGAGCGAACAGGCUUAGAUACCCUGGUAGUCCACGCCGUAAACGGUGGGUACUAGGUGUGGGGGACAUUCCACGUUCUCCGUGCCGUAGCUAACGCAUUAAGUACCCCGCCUGGGGAGUACGGCCGCAAGGCUAAAACUCAAAGGAAUUGACGGGGCCCCGCACAAGCGGCGGAGCAUGCGGAUUAAUUCGAUGCAACGCGAAGAACCUUA